AUCUUCUAAUCAUAAAGUGAAUUGCAUUUAGUUUAAAGAAUUCAAAUGCAUGCCCACCAGGAGGGUUGACCAUGAAUCAUGAACAAUGAACCUCUCUUUUCAUGGUUCGUUCAUCAACUUUGAAAUGUCAUUAUAUAGUAGACACGAUCUUGAUCUAAAGAACUUUCAACUUAAUAGCUGAGUUAUAAUCAGCAAUGCAAGCA
rnacentral:lncRNA from 1 species